rnacentral:rRNA from 1 species
CAGUAGCCGCGGUAAUACGGAGGGAGCUAGCGUUGUUCGGAAUUACUGGGCGUAAAGCGCACGUAGGCGAUUAUUCAAGUCAGAGGUGAAAGCCCGGGGCUCAACCCCGGAACUGCCUUUGAAACUAGAUGACUAGAAUCUUGGAGAGGUCAGUGGAAUUCCGAGUGUAGAGGUGAAAUUCGUAGAUAUUCGGAAGAACACCAGUGGCGAAGGCGACUGACUGGACAAGUAUUGACGCUGAGGUGCGAAAGCGUGGGGAGCAAACAGGAUUAGAACCCCCGUAGUCCCUGUCUCUUAUACC